UUCCUUGGGGGGACAUUGGCUGUUAAAACAGAAGAGUCUGAGUUAUUUGUCACAAGCCUCCGACUCUAGGAUUUAACAAUAGCAGAAAAAGUUUGAGCCUACUAGCAAGAAGGCCAUAACAAGUCAAGGUGCCAGCGCCUGACCCAGCACAACAGUGUCCACAGCAAGAUGGACUCUCUAUUCCUGUGUCGUGAGACCACUAAGCCUCUCCCCAAAGCCCCCAGAGUUUGAGUCUGAAACAUCCCGGGAGCGUCAGCACUGGGUAAAUGCAGAAGUGGAAAGAAGGAAGACAGGAAACAGAAGCCAUGAGUAAGCAAAGCCUAUGAGGGAGAGGGAAAGUGAGUGGCAUGUCAUCAAUGGCAAUAGAUGGAAAAUAAGCAGGUAGACAGAAACAGAAACAGAAGAGUUGAAUCAUGUGCAUGGCAAGAAGCCGAGGAUUCCUGUGAGGUCACCAAAGGGUAGCUUGUACUAUUAGACCACAGAGCUACUACUCAGUGGUUGCUAAGUGGCCAUGACAAAACUCUAGUUUUCCACAAGUCUGCCAAGGAGACUCUUACCUAUCUUUUCUACUUCUCCCUAUCAUAUCCCUUUUAAUAAACCUACAUUAAUUGA